GCCUGAGUGGUGGAAUGGUAGACGCGCCGGACUCAAAAUCCGGUGGUAGCAAUACCAUGUGGGUUCAAGUCCCACCUCAGGCA
rnacentral:tRNA from 1 species